GGUCCCGGUGGUGGGGUGCACAUUUUUAUUCUUACUUAUUCUUACUUAAGAAUAAAAAUGUGCACCCCACCACCGGGACC